rnacentral:rRNA from 1 species
AUUGAACGCUGGCGGCAGGCCUAACACAUGCAAGUCGAACGAGUGGCGGACGGGUGAGUAAUGUCUGGGAAACUGCCUGAUGGAGGGGGAUAACUACUGGAAACGGUAGCUAAUACCGCAUACCAUCGGAUGUGCCCAGAUGGGAUUAGCUAGUAGGUGGGGUAACGGCUCACCUAGGCGACGAUCCCUAGCUGGUCGGAGAGGAGGACCAGCCACACUGGAACUGAGACACGGUCCAUACUCCUACGGGAUGCAGCAGGGGGGAAUAAUUCACAAUGGGCGCAAGCCUGAUGCAGCACUGCCGCGUGUAUGAAGAGGGCCUUCGGGUUGUAAAGUACUUUCAGCGGGGAGGCGUUACCCGCAGAAGAAGCACCGGCUAACUCCGUGCCAGCAGCCGCGGUAAUUC